rnacentral:rRNA from 1 species
UACAGAGGUCUCAAGCGUUGUUCGGAUUUACUGGGCGUAAAGGGCGCGUAGGCGGCCACGACAAGUCACUUGUGAAAUCUCCGGGCUUAACUCGGAACGGUCAAGUGAUACUGUCGGGCUAGAGUACAGAAGGGGCAACUGGAAUUCUCGGUGUAGCAGUGAAAUGCGUAGAUAUCGUGAGGAACACCAGAGGCGAAGGCGGCUACCUGGACAAUUGCUGACGCUCAGGCACGAAAGCGUGGGGAGCAAAAGGG